rnacentral:rRNA from 1 species
AGAGUUUGAUCCUGGCUCAGGACGAACGCUGGCGGCGUGCUUAACACAUGCAAGUCGAGGGGGGUGGGGCAACCCACUCACCGGCGAACGGGUGUGUAACACGUGAGCGACCCGCCCUACCAGAGGGGGAUAGCCGGCCCAACGGCCGGGUAAUACCGCAUACGCUCUUUGGGCUACAUGGCCUAGGGAGGAAAACCCGCAAGGGUGCUGGAGGAGGGGCUCGCGGCCUAUCAGCUAGUUGGCGAGGUAACGGCUCACCAAGGCGACGACGGGUAGCUGGUCUGAGAGGAUGGCCAGCCACAUUGGGACUGAGACACGGCCCAGACUCCUACGGGAGGCAGCAGUGGGGAAUAUUGGACAAUGGGCGCAAGCCUGAUCCAGCAAUGCCGCGUGAGUGAUGAAGGCCUUAGGGUUGUAAAGCUCUUUCGGCGGGGACGAUGAUGACGGUACCCGCAGAAGAAGCCCCGGCUAACUUCGUGCCAGCCGCCGCGGUAAUAC